AUUGAACGCUGGCGGCAUGCUUUACACAUGCAAGUCGAGCGGCAGCGCGGGCUUCGGCCUGGCGGCGAGUGGCGAACGGGUGAGUAAUACAUCGGAACGUGCCCAGUAGUGGGGGAUAGCUCGGCGAAAGCCGGAUUAAUACCGCAUACGACCUGAGGGUGAAAGCGGGGGAUCUUCGGACCUCGCGCUAUUGGAGCGGCCGAUGGCGGAUUAGCUAGUUGGUGGGGUAAAGGCCUACCAAGGCGACGAUCUGUAGCUGGUCUGAGAGGACGACCAGCCACACUGGGACUGAGACACGGCCCAGACUCCUACGGGAGGCAGCAGUGGGGAAUUUUGGACAAUGGGCGAAAGCCUGAUCCAGCAAUGCCGCGUGUGUGAUGAAGGCCUUCGGGUUGUAAAGCACUUUUGGCGGGAACGAAAAGGACUGUGCCAAUACCACGGUUCGAUGACGGUACCCGCAGAAUAAGCACCGGCUAACUACGUG
rnacentral:rRNA from 1 species